rnacentral:rRNA from 1 species
ACUUGUACUGAUUGAGAUUUUAACACGAAGUGAGUGGCGAACGGGUGAGUAACACGUGGGUAACCUGCCCAGAAGUAGGGGAUAACACCUGGAAACAGAUGCUAAUACCGUAUAACAGAGAAAACCGCAUGGUUUUCUUUUAAAAGAUGGCUCUGCUAUCACUUCUGGAUGGACCCGCGGCGUAUUAGCUAGUUGGUGAGGUAAAGGCUCACCAAGGCAGUGAUACGUAGCCGACCUGAGAGGGUAAUCGGCCACAUUGGGACUGAGACACGGCCCAGACUCCUACGGGAGGCAGCAGUAGGGAAUCUUCCACAAUGGACGCAAGUCUGAUGGAGCAACGCCGCGUGAGUGAAGAAGGGUUUCGGCUCGUAAAGCUCUGUUGUUAAAGAAGAACGUGGGUAAGAGUAACUGUUUACCCAGUGACGGUAUUUAACCAGAAAGCCACGGCUAACUACGUGCCAGCAGCCGCGGUAAUACGUAGGUGGCAAGCGUUAUCCGGAUUUAUUGGGCGUAAAGCGAGCGCAGGCGG